CUUUAAAUAGUUUAUUUAUACAAAACAUAAUAUUGAAAAUAUUAAAAUGAUAUUAUAAUUUAUCUUUAAAUA
rnacentral:tRNA from 1 species